rnacentral:rRNA from 1 species
UACGGAGGAUGCGAGCGUUAUCCGGAUUUAUUGGGUUUAAAGGGUGCGCAGGCAGCACGGCAAGCCGGCGGUCAAAUCGCGAGGCUCAACCCCGCCCAGCCGUCGGAACUGCCGGGCUAGAGUGGGCGAGAAGUGCGCGGAAUGCGUGGUGUAGCGGUGAAAUGCAUAGAUAUCACGCAGAACUCCGAUUGCGAAGGCAGCGCACCGGCGCCCUACUGACGCUCAGGCACGAAAGCGUGGGUAUCGAACAGG